GUGUGUGUGUGUGUGUGUGCUUGUGUGUGUGAGAGAGAGUGUGUGUGUGUGAGAGAGAGAGAGAGAGUGAGAGUGAGAGUGAGUGCUUGUAUGAAAGAAUGGUGUGCUUGUGUGUGUGUUGUUGUUGUUGGGCCAAAAACUAUUUUAUUCCUUAGCUUUCAUGAUGAAUAUCUUCCGUUCCAUCUACUUGAAACAUUCUUAUUGUUGGGUAUCCUUCUCUUUGGCUCACAGAGUUGUCAUGUUUGUUCAUGUUUUAAUCUUUUGGAGAUCUGUUCUUAAUAAACAUUUUUCUUAAAUAAUAGGUCUUCUUCAGUGUUGCAGUGUUAAUUAACAUAAUUCUGAACAGAUUUUGCUAAUUCAAACAGCCCAACAUGUUUUUAAAAAGCUUAAACUUUAAAAAGCUUUACUUACAAAAAAUAUGUGCUGUUUAAAUCGGGCUUGGGCUCAAGAGGACAGUGUAUGGGGUGGAGCAGGCUUGGCCAGAACGUGUACGGGCUCGGGCCGGGUCAGGCAGGAUAUUUUGGGCCAGAUCUAAGCUCUAGAGAGUGCAGGGGUAGAUGUAACUGAGAUGCUGUGAGCCUUUUGGAAGCCUCUUGUGACCUCAGGACUGCAAUAUUAGCCAGUGGUUACCAGAUUGUAGGUGUUGUAGACUGGUGUUAAAGGUUGGUGUAGGCUGGUAGUAGAUACUUUUCUACCUAAAGUACAUGCUGUAGUACUUAAUCUGACUCUCUUGUAUGUUCCACAGAUGCAGUUUGUUAAGUGCUUGCUGAUUACCGCUGUGGCUCUUUCCUUAAUGCCCAUGUUCACCUCUGCCCUGGUCAAAACGGUGAAGAAGCUGAACGAAUCCGCUGUUCUGAGCUGUAACGUAGAGUGUCCAGGUGUGAUGCAGUGGAGAAGGAAUGGGGAGGCCGUUGCUGAGUGCGGUCCUGGAGCUAAACAUUUGAGUUUCGUCUGUGAAAUUAAUCAGGAAAAAUCUCUGUUCACUGUUCCUCUGGUGAACUUCUCAACCAGAGGCGUCUACUCUGCUUUCUGCAGUGGCGAAGAAAUGUCUCAGUGCAGACAAUUCUUACAACUUAUCCCCCCUGAGGAUGUCUUUGUCCGGAAUGCUGGAGAUCGUCUGGGACUGGAUCUUCGCAUUCCUGAUCCGGUUAUCGUAGAGUUCACAGUGCCUGGAAACUCCUUCACACUUGAGGUUUGCCGCGUGGAUGGACGUCGUUGUCCGUGUCACGCAAAGUAUGAGCAGAGGAUCCUCGUUGUUGGAAACAUCUUAUUUCUGAUGGAUCUCAGACCUUCAGACAGCGGCAACUACAGCAUACGAAACGCUGCUGACCGUACACUGGUGAGCAGUUCAGACGUCACUGUCACAGAGAGGAGCUCCAGAGUCAGAAUUCCCACCUCACCAGAGAGAGAGAAGCACGACCCCAAACAUUUCUUCAUCAGCACAGUAAACGGUAUUCUCUCUCUCUGACUUUAAUCCUUGUUUUAGUUUUAUCAUCGUAGUACACUUACAACCAAACAGUAGGCAAUGAUGCUCUGACUUUUUUGUAAAAGCUAAAGAUGUUCCAGAGAGGAGUGAUGAUCUGUGUUGUCUUUUCUCUUCUAGACCUUCAGGAGAGCUGGAUAUGGAAGGAAGGAUAUCAUAAGGGAAAAGUGACUGGAGCGCUGGCAGCUGGAAUUCUAGGGCUUGUUUGCAUAGUUGUGUUUUUCUUUUUUGGUGUGUUUGUUGGGCCAAAGCUGUUACCUCUGCUGAACAGCUGUGAGCAGAAUCUCAGAUUUCCAGAGCGCUCAGGAUCCACGUAUGGAUAAUGAAAGGGGUAUUCUCCUGACUUCUCCUAAUGGUCCCACCCAGAACUAGGAAAAUGAUCUUAACGUCAGAAGCUGAAUUUUAAUGUUUUUAGCCUUUUGAAAAAACCUAAUUGAAAAAAUUAUGUAGAAGCCAAAUAUGAUGUUUUUUCCUUCAACAUACAAAAUGUAGAAACCCAAACUGUAGACCUGGGUUUCCAGUAGGCUGACUAUGAUGAUCUACUUAUCCAACAAAAAAAAGCUCAGUUUUAACAAUCUUACUAAAAAGGCUCAGCUUUUUUAUUAAGUAUACCGUUAAAACUGAGUUCCAUUCCAUUAAUAUCACACUGCCAAAUUUCUGCUCUGUCUCACUUAUACAGGCCAGAACAGCCCGUUCAUUCCUGUGCAUUUAACAUGAACACAGGACAUUUGUGUAUUAAUAUGUGAUGAUGUCAGGGCCCUAAGCACAUCACCAUCCACCAAGAACCCCUUAUGUACAUUUUAUUAAAAGACAUUAAAGAGACAUUAACACAGGACUUACCUGGCUCCUGUAGAAAUGGUGGGCAUCUUCCUCCCAACCCUCUGGUACCCUCCUGACCUCUCAUCCCCACACUACCACAUAACAUUUAUAUUCUCUGAAGAAUGCCCCCCAAAAAUCACACAUUCUGCCAGAGUAUGUAAACUUAUGAGCACAACUGAACAAGCUAACAGAGAAAUUAUUCCCAGAGUAAGCUUUAACUAUCCAUAAUCACUUUAAUUAACUCUCCCUGACCCGUAGCUUCUUACAUGUAGACAUGUCACACCUGCAUUAUGAUGUUUUUAUUUAUUUAUUUAUUUAUUUAUUUUUAAAUAAUAAAUAAAUAUUUAUUUAGCUCA
ensembl:lncRNA